CAUGAAGCCGGCCGCGUGUGCUUUGUGCGAAGGCCUGAGACCUUGGAAAGGGUGGCUGAAGACUUAUCUGGGACAGACCCCCCGGGAGCGGGAGGGAACUUAGUUCAAACCUGUAACAAAGAAGCCCCCCGUCAGCAGCCUGAUUCCCCCUCUGGCCACCAGGUUAGUCACCCAUUGCUCUCAGUGGCACUCAGGUUCCAGUGAGGGGGAGGCUCAGGGUCCAAGGCGGCCGUGGAAGAGCAGAAAGGGUGGCCCACCAGCCCCCUACUCAGCCCCCUACUGAGGAGGUGGGAGGCAUCCCCCAACCUGCCAGGCUGAAGAGACCCCCAGUGGAGCCCAGCACGGCCCCACCCAAGCCCAAGCCGCCUCCGCUGACCAAGGAGACAGUGGUGUUCUGGGACAUGCGCCUGUGGCACGUGGUGGGCAUCUUUUCGCUCUUC
rnacentral:lncRNA from 10 species